rnacentral:pre_miRNA from 1 species
GGGGGGGCCGGAUCCUGGGCUGUGUCCCGGCGCCCUGUGCUCCGGAGCCUGCGCUGUUGGAUUCGCGCUCCCGGGCCGCGCAGCCCCCU